AACGAACGCUGGCGGCGUGUUUAAGACAUGCAAGUCGCACGGUGUCAUUUUGGUAGCAAUACUUGGAUGGCACAGUGGCGCACGGGUGAGUAACACGUGAAUGACAUGCCCUUCAGAGGGGGAUAGCCCAGGGAAACUUGGAUUAAUACCCCAUGGUCUCGCAAGAGUAAAGGUGGCCGCAAGGCUGUCGCUGGAGGAUUGGUUCGCGGUCUAUCAGCUUGUUGGCGGGGUAACGGCCCACCAAGGCUACGACGAAUACCUGGUCUGAGAGGACGGUCAGGCACACUGGAACUGAGACACGGUCCAGACACCUACGGGUGGCAGCAGUCGAGAAUAAUUCACAAUGGGGUCAACCCUGAUGGUGCAACGCCGCGUGGAGGAUGAAGGUCUUCGGAUUGUAAACACCUGUCAUCCGGGAGCAAGACCUGACGGGGAAUAGCCGGCAGAGUUGAUAGUACCGGAAGAGGAAGGGACGGCUAACUUCGUGCCAGCAGCCGCCGUAAAAC
rnacentral:rRNA from 1 species